rnacentral:ncRNA from 1 species
CAGGAUUCGCCGCCGGGUGAGUUUGCGCGUUUUUCCUGCAUCGUUAGGCCAUUGAAGAUGCAGAGAGGGCGCGAUUUUUGUU